ACAAAAAAUGACAAAAGAUAAAACUUGUAAAUUACCUUUAAGAUUGUGACACACACAUUUUUAUCACCCCAGUUUUACUACAUUCUGUUACAGUGUUUGAAAUAUUAAUAAGAUCACCUGAUUGGUUAAAUACCAAUGUUUACACCACCACCAUUUACUUCUUUUUCUUAAAACAGCUGAUGAUUGCUCACGAUAACAAGAAAACUGCAGAUGCACUCUCUACUCACAGUGCACAACCAGUAUCACCUUUUAAUAUUAUCUGUGUCACGGAUCCGGCUCUGGGGACUCGGGGUCCGUGGGCAGUGGGGACUAAGACGAUUAUUAUUAGUAGUAGUAUUAUCAUUAUUAGGAUUAUUGUCUUUAUUAUUAUUAUUUGGUGUGUCGUCUGCACUGCCUCUGAUCUCUGUCCUCAUCUGUAUGUAGGCAGGUUUGUGUGUGUUUGUGUGUUGCUGUUUUCUGUGGCCAAGUUACAGGCAUCUUCAGGCCUGAGGGGCGUGGCCUGGCUUGAGGACUGGCCACACCCGAAGCCCUUGCCACACACCUGCUCCUCAUCUGGGCUCGUUGGGGGAGCUAUUUAGAGGAGUGAUGGAGUUUCCACCGAUGCUGGAUUAUUGCGUUUGACUUCACGAGGAAUGUGGGACGAGAAGGAGCAGUGAGCACAGGGAGUGCAGGGACACUGGAGCAGAGAGCACUACACUAGGACUUUUCUGGGAGGAAGACACAACACGGGAGUCUGGGAAACUGGGGAAUUUAUUGUUGUUUACUUCACCACCUCUGUAAAUAAACACUGUUGCACUGAA